UACGAAGGGGCUAGCGUUGUUCGGAAUCACUGGGCGUAAAGCGCACGUAGGCGGAUCUUUAAGUCAGAGGUGAAAUCCCAAGGCUCAACCUUGGAACUGCCUUUGAUACUGGGGAUCUCGAGUCCGGGAGAGGUGAGCGGAACUGCGAGUGUAGAGGUGAAAUUCGUAGAUAUUCGCAAGAACACCAGUGGCGAAGGCGGCUCACUGGCCCGGUACUGACGCUGAGGUGCGAAAGCGUGGGGAGCAAACAGG
rnacentral:rRNA from 1 species